CUACGGAGGGUGCAAGCGUUAUUCGGAAUCACGGGGCGUAAAGGACGCGUAGGCGGGUUGGCAAGUCAGAUGUGAAAUCCUACAGCUUAACUGUAGAACUGCAUUUGAAACUGCUAACCUAGAGUAUGGGAGGGGGAGAUGGAAUUAGUGGUGUAGGGGUAAAAUCCGUAGAUAUCACUAGGAAUACCGAAAGCGAAGGCGAUCUCCUGGAACAUAACUGACGCUAAGGCGUGAAAGCGUGGGGAGCAAACAGGAUUAGAAACCCUUGUAGUCC
rnacentral:rRNA from 1 species